rnacentral:misc_RNA from 1 species
AGCAGCCGCGGUAAUUCCAGCUCCAAUAGCGUAUAUUAAAGUUGUUGCAGUUAAAAAGCUCGUAGUUGAAUUUUGGGUUUGGCCAAUUGGUCCGUUCUUGUAACGAGUACUGGUUGGUUGGGCCUCACCGCCUGGUGAUACGUAAUGUCCUUUAUUGGGUGUUGCCGAGUAGCCAGGACCUUUACCUUGAAAAAAUUAGAGUGUGUAAAGCAGGCUUAUGCCGGAAUACACUAGCAUGGAAUAAUAGAAUAGGACGAUGAUUCUAUUUUGUUGGUUUCUAGGAGCAUCGUAAUGAUUAAUAGGGAUAGUUGGGGGCAUUAGUAUUCAAUUGUCAGAGGUGAAAUUCUUGGAUUUAUUGAAGACUAACUACUGCGAAAGCAUUUGCCAAGGAUGUUUUCAUUAAUCAAGAACGAAAGUUAGGGGAUCGAAGACGAUCAGAUACCGUCGUAGUCUUAACCAUAAACUAUGCCGACUAGGGAUCGGGCGAUGUUGUUUCAAUGACUCGCUCGGCACCUUAUGG